rnacentral:rRNA from 1 species
CCUACGGGCGGCAGCAGUGAGGAAUAUUGGUCAAUGGGCGCGAGUCUGAACCAGCCAUGUCGCGUGCAGGAUGACUGCUCUAUGGGUUGUAAACUGCUUUUAUACAGGAAUAAAGUGAGUCACGUGUGCCUAUUUGUAUGUAUUUUACGAAUAAGGAUCGGCUAACUCCGUGCCAGCAGCCGCGGUAAUACGGAGGAUCCGAGCGUUAUCCGGAUUUAUUGGGUUUAAAGGGUGCGUAGGUGGGUGGUUAAGUUAGUUGUUAAAGGUUGGGGCUAAACCCUUAGAUUGCACUUGAUACUGUGCGACUAGAGAGCAGAUGAAGCAGGCGGAAUGAGUAGUGUAGCGGUGAAAUGCUUAGAUAUCACGAAGAACUCCGAUUGCGAAGGCAGCUUACUAAUCCGCCACUGACAUUGAUGCUCGAAAGUGUGGGUAUCGAACAGGAUUAGAUACCCGAGUAGUC